GUAAUGCCGUUGAUGGGUUUAAAUAUACUUUGAGUAAUCUGAUUACCAUGAAAAGUAUCUAAUCUGAGGCAUUUC